rnacentral:rRNA from 1 species
GAUGAACGCUAGCUACAGGCUUAACACAUGCAAGUCGAGGGGAAACGCCAUCGAAAGCUUGCUUUUGAUGGGCGUCGACCGGCGCACGGGUGAGUAACGCGUAUCCAACCUUCCCACCACUUGGGGAUAACCUUGCGCAAGUAAGACUAAUACCCAAUGACGUCUCUAGAAGACAUCUGAAAGAGAUUAAAGAUUUAUCGGUGAUGGAUGGGGAUGCGUCUGAUUAGCUUGUUGGCGGGGUAACGGCCCACCAAGGCGACGAUCAGUAGGGGUUCUGAGAGGAAGGUCCCCCAGAUUGGAACUGAGACACGGUCCAAAAUCCUACGGGAGGCAGCAGUGAGGAAUAUUGGUCAAUGGACGAGAGUCUGAACCAGCCAAGUAGCGUGAAGGAUGACGGGCCUAUGGGAUGUAAACUGCUUUUAUAAGAGAAUAAAGUGAGUAUCGUGAGACUUUUUGCAUGUACCUUAUGAAUAAGGACCGGCUAAUUCCGUG